rnacentral:rRNA from 1 species
UACAGAGGGUGCGAGCGUUGUCCGGAAUCACUGGGCGUAAAGGGCGCGUAGGCGGCCUGCUAAGUAGAGGGUGAAAUCCUGCGGCUCAACCGCAGGGCUGCCUUCUAAACUGUCAGGCUGGAGCACGGUAGAGGCAGAUGGAAUUCCCGGUGUAGCGGUGGAAUGCGUAGAUAUCGGGAGGAACACCAGUGGCGAAGGCGGCACUCUGGGCCAGUACUGACACUGAGGAGCGAAAGCGUGGGUAGCGAACAGG